rnacentral:rRNA from 1 species
CACUCAUGCGAGACUGCCGGUGAUAAGCCGGAGGAAGGCGGGGACGACGUCAAGUCAUCAUGGCCCUUACGUGUGGGGCUACAAACGUGCUACAAUGGUGGUGACAGUGGGCAGCGAGGCUGUGAGGCCAAGCUAAUCCCUAAAAGCCAUCUCAGUUCAGAUUGUACUCUGCAACUCGAGUACAUGAAGUUGGAAUCGCUAGUAAUCGUGGAUCAGCAUGCCACGGUGAAUACGUUCCCGGGUCUU